GAGACUAUACUUUCAGGGAUCAUUUCUAUAGUUUGUUACUAGAGAAGUUCCUCUGAACGUGUAGAGUACCCGAAACCAUGAGGAGGAGGCACAAGGUUCUCUCCUGAGCCAGAGGCUAGCUUUAGAUGUUGUUUCCACAACUGCCAAUUGCCACUGAUGCUCCUUCUUGUCCUCCUUUGGAGGAGUAAGAAGAAGAGGAUGCAGUGUGAGUGCU
rnacentral:snoRNA from 1 species